AUGGAUACCUCAACUAUGGUGGAGUACAAAAAGACACAGCUCCAGCAGGUCACACAGUACCACCAGCAAAAACGGGCUCUCGUGGAUACUCUACACGACCUGGAGGCUGAGCUCAGCACACUGACACAGGACUGCAUUGACAGCAGCACCUUUCAAGUGGAGAAGCUGAAUGCAUUCCUGAAGAACAUGCAGAAGAAGAGAGGCAUACUAGAGGAGCUCCUAAAGACAUGCUCUCAGAUUUCAGCCCAUCUGGGUGAGACAGAGGGACCUGUGGCCUGCAUUGAACCUUUUAGGACUUUACAGGAGAGAUGGCAAACUGUGGAGCGGGUUGCUUACAGCAGUCUGUGGGGUGCUAACAUCUGCACAGCAGAAGUAGCUGCACUCCUGCAAGAAGCCAGAGAGCUGCACCAUGAACUGGAGCUUCUGGAGAAGUCAGUUUCUCUUCCGCAUCCCUCUCAAGGACAGAUGGACUGCCAAAGUGCGCUACAAGAGACUGUGAGAACUGCAGACCUGGCAGUGUUAACUGAGCGCUACUUGUACCUUCUUGAGGUUUCUCAGGCUCUUUCCUCAAGUCCGCUGGGAAAAAAAGAGCUCAGAGAUGUGGAGGACGCAAUGCAAGGCUUGAAUUCUCAGCUUGCUCUGACUCAGGAGAAGAUCAGCUCUCAGACUUCAAAGGGCAAUGGUUGCUCACCGAUCAUGAGGAUUAUCAGGGACUACGUUACAUGGGCUAAACAAACAGAAAGCAAAGUCAGUAGGAGAAGGAGGUUGUCUCUGUUUCCUGAAGAAGCAAGUCACCAGGUCAAUCACAUGAAGAAACUGCAGUCUGAAACAUCUCUUAAGAGGUUUCAGUUGGCCUCUGUUUUGAAAGAGUUAAGAGAAGAAGUUACAGGACUCAAUAAGGAGGAUUCCAUGUCACCCACCCUCAAUUCCCUAGAAGAUCUGUACGUUAAGCUUACAGAGAAGACCGAAUGUGCUGUUGCAGAAAUGAACAGAAUGUUUCAUAUUAGAGAAAGACUGUGGAAACAGAUCACUGACAGCAGCUCUUGGUUGACCUCAGUAUUAGAAAAAGAGUCUGGUAAAACAGUGGCUUCUGAACCUAAAACUACCAUCCCAGAAUUGAGGGUUCAGAUUCAGGUAUGCACAGAAGCUUUGAAGGAUGCUGAGAGACAAGCAAAAAAUCUGGAGACUCUGUUAGAUGAAAUGAAAGAAGUGAAUCACGGUCUGAGUGUACCUGAAAGCUUUCAGCUUAUCAGUAGGCUAACAGCCUUACAAGAAGAGGUCUCUAGGGUUGUGAACCGUAAGUGGGCCUUGCACUGGGUGCUUGAAGAACUCCUUCAUGCUCAGGAAUCCUCUGCUGAGGAACAGAACAUCACUCUGAAGAGCUUGAGACAGAUGAGUGCUGAUGUCACGCGGCAGAAGUAUCCCGUAAAAAGGGACUCGCUCUUGCCUCUUGAACCUGUUAAGCACAUGCUGAUGGAGCUCCUCUGCAAAGUGCCAGAAAUUCCCCACUGCCCAGAUCCUCGGAGGAAAGAGAUGCUCAACGCUGUACUAGACCUACAGAGGAGAAUACAUCUGCUGGAGUUGCAAGCCAAAGAGCAUGAAGAGUACCUCAUUUUAAGGCAGCGCAUGGAGAACUCCAUAGAGGCGGUGAAGAAGAGCUUGUCGCAGAUUGUAGACUCAAGUGUAGGAGUUGACGUAAGGCUCGGCUUUUGUCAGGCUGUCCUUGUGGAGCUGCCUUUGGUGAGAAUGACAUGUCAAGAAGCCGCUGACCACCUUGAGGCCAUUUCGAAAGAUCUCUAUACAUCCCAGCUGACAACAGAAAGGCACAAAAUCCGUUUGGUCAUUGAGCAGCUAGCCUCUUGGGAGCUCACAGUAAAAAAUGAGGCUAAAACUCUUGAGUGCUCUCUGGCGGAGCGACUCGGCAGUCCUACAGACCUCAGUCCACUCACUGAGCUCUUUAACAGUGUCAGUCAGCAGCUGAAGGAGACCAUCUGCUUGGAGCCAGAUAAUAAGACCAUUGAUACACAGCUACGAAAGCACUGGAUGCUAAUCCAGACCACUGAGUCUAUUCUACGAAUGUUGGCGCACUACGGGAAAGAAGUAGAUGUUAAAAGCUACCAGAUGACCAUCGAUCUCGACCAGAAAACUCUUAAAGAUUGUGGUAUGCAUAUGGUAAGCUCCAUGCGUCCAUGUAUGUUAAAAUGACUAAUACCACUAGAAUGCUACUUUUUGUAACCAUUGUAGUUUACCCAUCUCUAAUUUUUAGAAAGCUAUGAAUGUUGUUUAUCCAAUUUUUUUUGUUUUUCCAAUUUGUGUUCCGUUGUCCAGGACAAGCUGCUCCAAGCUCGGGAGGCACUGAAGCAUUAUCACUGGGCUGUUCAGGGUGCAGAGAGCUUCCUUC
rnacentral:lncRNA from 12 species